rnacentral:rRNA from 1 species
UUUCCGGUUGAUCCUGCCGGACCUGACUGCUAUCGGAUUGAUACUAAGCCAUGCGAGUCUUUGUAGUAUUACAAGGCAGACGGCUCAGUAACGCGUAGUCAACCUACCCUAUGGACGGGAAUAAUCUCGGGAAACUGAGCAUAAUACCCGGCGUACCACCAUUCCUGGAAUGGUUGGUGGUUAAAAUGAUUCGUCGCCGUAGGAUGGGACUGCGACCUAUCAGCUUGUUGGUGAGGUAAAGGCCCACCAAGGCGAUUACAGGUACGGGCUCUGAGAGGAGAAGCCCGGAGAUGGGUACUGAGACACGGACCCAGGCCCUAUGGGGCGCAGCAGGCGAGAAAACUUUGCAAUGUGCGAAAGCACGACAAGGUUAAUCCGAGUGAUUUCUGCUAAAGGAAUCUUUUGCCAGUUCUAAAAAUACUAGUGAAUAAGGGGUGGGCAAGUUCUGGUGUCAGCCGCCGCGGUAAAACCAGCACCUCAAGUGGUCAGGAGGAUUAUUGGGCCUAAAGCAUCCGUAGCCUGCUCUGUAAGUUUUCGGUUAAAUCUAUAUGCUCAACGUAUAGGCUGCCGAAAAUACUGCAGUGCUAGGAAGUGGGAGAGGUAGACGGUACUUGAUAGGAAGGGGUAAAAUCCUUUGAUCUAUCGAUGACCACCUGUGGCGAAGGCGGUCUACCAG